rnacentral:rRNA from 1 species
AUUGAACGCUGGCGGCAGGCCUAACACAUGCAAGUCGAACGAGUGGCGGACGGGUGAGUAAUGUCUGGGAAACUGCAUGAUGGAGGGGGAUAACUACUGGAAACGGUAGCUAAUACUGCAUACCAUCAGAUGUGCCCAGAUGGGGUUAGCUUGUUGGUGGGGGAACGGCUCCCCAAGGCGACGAUCCCUAGCGGGUCUGAGAGGAUGACAAGCCACACUGGAACUGAGACACGGUCCCGACUCCUACGGGAGGCAUCAGUUGGGAAUAUUGCACAAUGGGCGCAAGCCUGAUUCAGCCAUGCCGCGUGUUUGAAGAAGGCCUUCAGGUUGUAAAGUACUUUCAGCGGGGAGGCGUUACCCGCAGAAGAAGCACCGGCUAACUCCGUGCCAGCAGCCGCGGUAAUUC